rnacentral:rRNA from 1 species
UACGAAGGGGGCUAGCGUUGCUCGGAAUUACUGGGCGUAAAGGGCGCGUAGGCGGACAGUUUAGUCAGAGGUGAAAGCCCUGGGCUCAACCCAGGAAGUGCAUUCGAUACUCCGAGGCUAGAGUACUGGAGAGGUGGGUGGAAUUCUCGGUGUAGAGGUGAAAUUCGUAGAUAUCGAGAGGAACACCGGCGGCGAAGGCGGCCCACUGGACAGAUACUGACGCUGAGACUCGAAAGCGUGGGGAGCAAACAGG